CUAAAGAAAGAGGCACAGAGGUCUUAGGUGGGGACCUUUCUAGCCUGGGAAGCUGGAUACCGACCCCGCCUAUUUUCGCGGUGGAAACGCAGGGCAGAGAUGUGGCUCUCUCCGGCAGGAGUCUGGCUGAGUCUCAGCAAAUUGAACUAGACACAGAGACGGUCCUCGGAAACCUUCCACUGGGCUCUACUCUUUACAAGUCAUUUGCUCAGUUUGAACAUCUCUUGACUUUCAUUCUAAGGCAUAAAUUCCUCUAUGGCAUUUCCACAUUAGGAUGAUUAUGUAACCUCUCAGCUAAAGCUGUAUCAACAUACCCUUUCUUAGGUGGCAUCCUUGGCUUAUACAUUCCAUUGUGUGACUCACCUGGGAGUUCUACACUAAUAAGCAGGGAGCAUGUGUGACUUUCUGCACUCCCAGAGGGGCCCUCCGCGGCUCUCUUCCAGCCGCUGUUACUGGCUGGAACAUCACUGCAGCUUUUGUGUUUUAGCUUCCCUUUUAUGGACUGGAGCUAAUCAUGGUAAUCUCAAUCUCGCAGGGAGAAUUACCUGCACACGCCUGUAAACCACAGUCAUAUCUCUUGUGGAAGUGAUUUUUCUCAAUUAGCAGCUCAAGUACAGCACAGUUGCGGCUCAUAUUGUUGCUCUUGCUUACCAGUCGUAGCUCAAAAUCACAAUUAUUCUAGAAUAUUAAACAGUUAUAGGAAAGUAUUGACAAUUUGAAAGCAUACUUUGAUGUGUAACUCAAUUUCUGAGUUUGGUAGAGGGGAAAAAAAGCCCUAAAGUAGUUCUUUGACAAUAGCUAGAAGUGACGCAGUCCGUCAUGGUGACUGAAGAUCUGCUGUCCUGGGUUCAGAGUCUGGUUUUAUUCUGGGUGAUCUUAAAAUAGUCACUAAACUUUGUGCCUCAGUUUCUUCAUCAGAGAUGUUGACAAUUACAUGACAAUGCCUAGUUUGGGUUAUUGUGAAGAAUAAGUAUGUUGGUUUCUGUGCCCUCCUUGGAAUAGUUCUGGCACAUAGUGAGCAUUUAUUCUACCAAAGUACUUAGUGCCUGUCGUCUACCAGUGACUGGGAAAACUAGGAGGGCCUUUUUGUUGUUGGUUAAUUUUAUACGUGGUGAGCAAAGAGAAAGGCUAAAAGAAAUUGUAGCUAAGGGCUGAGCAGGGUUGAACUACCUCUUACAGGGAAAAGCAGGGAUGUCUGGCUCCUUCUCCUGAGAGAUGGGAAGGCAGUGGAAGCUGCUGAGUAAAGGAAGAACAGUUUGCCUUCUGCUGUAGAUGGAUCCCUAUGGCUGCUUUGUGGAGCGCUUUGGGGAGAGGAUGAAGGAAGGAAGGAAAACAGGAUUUAGGAAAACCUUGUGCGGGUCCAAGCAAGAGGAACUAAUGGUUUCCACAGGUGGAAGUGGUACAGAUGUGAGAAGCCAUGGCCCCUGGAUGCUUCCUAGUUAUUAUCACUGUCACGCUCUCACGGUUUAUAUCCCUUCUAGGUCUGUUUCCUCACUGGGAAAAUAAAGGGGCUGGGCUCAUUCAUCAUUCCCUCUUAGCUUUUAGAAUAUUCUCUGGUUUGUGGAGAGCUGUAUAAAUACCAACCAAAUUUAAAAGGGGCUGAUGGUAGGUGCUUUUGAGUGAAAUAAUCUCGAGUUGAAUCUUGUGGUAAGUGGUUUUGUAGGGUGAAGAACAGCCCUUUGAUUUGUUUCAUGAAUGGAAUUUAAGGUUUUGGAUUGCUGAAGAUGAGUUUCUUACAUUUUAGGGAUGGAAAGAAUAGCAAGGUAUUAAACCUGCCCUGAAUACUUUGUCAAGGAGAAUUAUCUUUUAUUCAAAAAAUUCUUUAUUCCUUCGUAGUCUACAGAAUGGUUAAUUUUAUACAUGGUGAGCAAAGAGAAAGGCUAAAAGAAAUUGUAACUAAGAGCUGAGCAGGGUUGAACUACCUCUUACAGGGAAAAGCCAUUAGCAAAUUAAUGAACUGUAGAGCUCAAAAAAUCUUUUUCAGAGUUGUAGAGUGAAGGACACACAAACUUUGCACUAUGCUUUGAUUACAGAAAUUGCUAUCUAAAAAUCAUUAACUAAGAUUGUGGCCCAUUUAAAAAAUACAACUGAACUCUCAGAAUGAACUGCAGUACUACUAGAAGCUACUCAAAAGGCUGUAAAAGGGAGGAGGCAGUCAAAGACAAUCAGCAGUGAGAAAAGUAGAAAUAGGACUUUGAAGAUAGACUUUGCUAAAGGAUCUUUCCAGAUAAAAACAAUGCGUUACUUCCCUUUUUUCUUAUCAUUUUAUAGUUUUAUUCAAAUGUAUACAUGUAGAAUUUCUGAGAUUGGGAGUGGAAUAAAGCACUGAUGGUGAUUCAACAGCCAUUUGAUCAGUAUGGCUAUGAGCAGAGGUGGUAUGAACCAAGAAGAGAGAUUUGCAAUGAUUCCACCAGGAACCUCUGAUGUGAAGGAUGACCUGCCAGGGUCCCUGGGAGUAGCUGCCUGCUCAAAAACUCCUUUCAUAGUAAAAGAUCUGUGUGCCUUUUAUGUUCUGUUCUACAAUAUUGCUGUGCUUAUUUUGAUAAAUAUAAGGUGAUAUAAACAUAGAUGUAUUUGAAAUAAAUAUAACAUGCUCCAGACUUGUACAUUUAGUAAAACAUCCCAAAGUUUACUGUGUUUAUUACCCUAUGGCACUGACUGCGUUCCCACCCUGAGGCUGAAGGGUGGUCAUCACCCACUUUGCAGAAUAAGACCCUGCAGUGUUCUGGGCCCAUCCAGGCUUUCAUUUCUCCACAGCUGCUUUUGUUGGGCCAGUCUCUGUGCUCAUGAUCAAUAUUCAUGCAGGCAGCAAAAUACACCAACUCAGCAUUCUUUUGUUUGCCUAGUUAGGUAGGAGGGCAAACAUUUAUCAAGCUAUUUUUCAAUAUUUCAAAAUACAAUUACAGUUUUUAAUUAUUUUAGGAACUGUAGUUGUGGUCAGAUAAUUAUUUUGGAGGCAUACACACAAAUUCCUGUUGUAUCUAAGUAAUUAGGGGACAGCCAUAAAACUUGGCAGUCAAUGCUAGUUCCCGACAUUUCAUUACUUUUGGUUUAUUUAUGAGGAAAGUAGAAUCAGCCUCUUGUGUGUGUUUUAAUUUCUUAGCAGAGGCAGGAUUGAUUUCACAAAACCUCCAGUUUAAGAAGACGAUCAUGAGCCCAUUCAGGAGGAGCUCAGGGCUUCAAAGGUGUCUGUCGCUCUGUGCCCUGGGAAUGUUGCAGUGGGCUUUUUAGCAUGCCUAAGAAGUCAAGGCUGGAGCGCAGCCCCUUCCUGACAGAGCUCCCUCCUGUGAAAGUCUUGUAGUUUCAUGGAAACUUGCCUGGCUUGCCUGGGUGGAAGGAGACCAAGAUUCCGAUUCAGCCGUGAUUUGGAGGCUCCGACCCUUUGGGAGGAAAACAGAGGCAAGCUGCCAGUUCAGCCAAAGAAGCAUAGAGGGAAGCCAUUCUUUCCUUCCCUAUAUUCAUAUUAUACAAGAUGCCUCCUCUGAACACUCUCUUCCAUCUGAUGAUAUUCUGAAUGGAUCUAACAGUUUCCCUGCCAACAUAGCAACACAGCCCAGAAAAAAAUGAAAAUGAAAUGCUUCGCAUUUGGGGACUGCUUCCAACCCAUUCCCAAUCAGGAGGCUGAAGCGUCUGGAAUGGAAGGCUGCAGGGGCUGUGCUGGAGGCGAAGAGUCUGGGCUGGAAGCCAGGAGACCACGUCCAAGGCAAAGACUGAAGCUCCUUGGGAGGAACAGAAGCGACCCUUCUUCAUUUCCCCUUUGUAGCAUUCAGGUGACAGGCUGCCCUAGGGUGUGUCUUUUAUCUUCAGUAAAUGCUCUGAGCCAUGCUCAGAACUAUGCUGAUAGAAUUUAGUUGGGUGUUUCUUACUCAGAUUGGCACAGUUAACUAUUACACUCAGAGAAAGUCAAUCAAUGUCUGUGGGGUUUUUAUUUUAUUUGUUUAUUUUUGUUCUGGUGAUUGAACCCAGGGGUACCCUGCCAUGAAACUACAUCCGAAUCCUUUAUCUAUUUAUUUAUUUUUUGUUAUUUUUUAUUUUGAAACAGAUAAGGUACCUAGGCUUGUUAAGGUACCUAGGCUGGCCCUCCACCCUGCAAUCUCCUUUCAGCCUCCUGUGCAACCCCAGCUUGUCUGUGCUUAUUUUUGAGCCCAUCGAUUUAAUGCCAAGGAAAAGUCCAUCAUGAGGAAGAAAGGAACUUCCUGAUGCAUUUUUUUUUUCUUUGAGAUGCUUGGAGCAGAGGUGCAAGUAUUAAAUUUCUACUCUUUGAUGCUUU